UGAGGAGGAAACAAAAUGAACGAAGUUCAUUUUCUAUAAAUGUUUCCGACGAAUUGCCAACCACCGAAGGUAGGAGGCGUUACAUAU
rnacentral:sRNA from 1 species